ACUGGGUUAGUCCCAUGGGAGAAGUCAUAUAAUUGUGAAAAUCUAUCAUUGGUUUGAGAAAUUUUUUGGGAGGAUGGCCGAUGGAUCCUUAUGUGUUACACAGGCAAUGCAACAUGAGCUUGCUCAAAAAUGGGGAAUCAAAGCCACUGUCCUCUAU